GGGGAACCCAAAAACCCUCUCUAAACCCUAACCGCGCAGAGCCCCUUUUUCUUUCUCGGCCACUUCUCUUCAAAACCCCGGAAAUGGCCUUCAAUUCCAUUCUUCGCAGAGCUUCAGCAUCUGUGCUUCCUCUAGUAAUUCGCUCUGUAGGUUCACAGAGAACCUUCCACAGCGCAAUCUCCACCUUCCUUUGUGUCGAAAAAUGCAGUCUCAGCCACCAGGUCUGUCGGCAAGUCUUUCUUCCAUUUUUUCGAUUCUCGACGGCCACUGUAGCAAAACCUAGCGCCGAUGAGAAUCUGAUUCGAGUCCUCGAUUCUGAGAUUGGCUGCGCCGAGAAACCCGCAGAUGUAGAGGAACUCCCUGCUGGAUUUCCUUUUGAAAUCCAAGA
rnacentral:misc_RNA from 1 species